CAGGCUUAACACAUGCAAGUCGAACGGGCGUAGCAAUACGUCAGUGGCAGACGGGUGAGUAACGCGUGGGAACGUACCUUUUGGUUCGGAACAACACAGGGAAACUUGUGCUAAUACCGGAUAAGCCCUUACGGGGAAAGAUUUAUCGCCGAAAGAUCGGCCCGCGUCUGAUUAGCUAGUUGGUGAGGUAACGGCUCACCAAGGCGACGAUCAGUAGCUGGUCUGAGAGGAUGAUCAGCCACAUUGGGACUGAGACACGGCCCAAACUCCUACGGGAGGCAGCAGUGGGGAAUAUUGGACAAUGGGCGCAAGCCUGAUCCAGCCAUGCCGCGUGAGUGAUGAAGGCCCUAGGGUUGUAAAGCUCUUUGUGCGGGAAGAUAAUGACGGUACCGCAAGAAUAAGCCCGGCUAACUUCGUG
rnacentral:rRNA from 1 species